rnacentral:rRNA from 1 species
AUUGAACGCUGGCGGCAUGCCUUACACAUGCAAGUCGAACGGUAGAGUAGCAAUACUCGAGAGUGGCGAACGGGUGAGUAAUAUAUCGGAACGUGCCCAGUCGUGGGGGAUAACGUAGAGAAAUUUACGCUAAUACCGCAUACGAUCUAAGGAUGAAAGCGGGGGAUUCGCAAGAACCUCGCGCGAUUGGAGCGGCUGAUAUCAUAUUAGGUUGUUGGUGAGGUAAAAGCUCACCAAGCCGACGAUCUGUAGCUGGUUUGAGAGAACGACCAGCCACACUGGGACUGAGACACGGCCCAGACUCCUACGGGAGGCAGCAGUGGGGAAUUUUGGACAAUGGGCGAAAGCCUGAUCCAUCAAUGCCGCGUGCAGGAAGAAGGCCUUCGGGUUGUAAACUGCUUUUGUACGGAACGAAAAGGCUCUUUCUAAUAAAGAGGGCCCAUGACGGUACCGUAAGAAUAAGCACCGGCUAACUACGUGCCAGCAGCCGCGGUAAUACGUAGGGUGCGAGCGUUAAUCGGAAUUACUGGGCGUAAAGCGUGCGCAGGCGGUUCUAUAAGACAGAUGUGAAAUCCCCGGGCUCAACCUGGGAAUGGCAUUUGUGACUGUAGAGCUAGAGUACGGUAGAGGGGGAUGGAAUUCCGCGUGUGGCAAUGAAAUGCGUACAUAUGCUGAGGAACACCGAUGGCGAANGCAAUCCCCUGGACCUGUACUGACGCUCAUGCACGAAAGCGUGGGGAGCAAACAGGAUUAGAUACCCUGGUAGUCCACGCCCUAAACGAUGUCAACUGAUUGUUGGGUGCAUUAGUACUCAGUAACGAAGCUAACGCGUGAAGUUGACCGCCUGGGGAGUACGGCCGCUAGGUUGAACUCAAUGAAUUGACGGGACCCGCACUAGCGGUGGAUGAUGUGGUUUAGUUCGAUGCACGCGAAGACUUACUACCUUUGACAUGUACGGAACUCGCAGAGAUGGCUUGUGCUCGAAAGAGACCGUACACAGUGCUGCAUGACUGUCGUCAGCUCGUGUUCUGAGAUGUUGGU